ACACUGCCCUGCGGGCCCCCAGGAUCGCACCCUCUCAUUUGCCUCAAGGACGCUUCUCCUCAAGACCUAACCCCACCAAGCCCAAGUUCAGCAGAUGACCCAGCUUCUGCAUUUAGAAAGAAAAUCGAGCUUGUCAGGCUCAAUUUUCCCAAGGCCUUGUCCCUGCACUCAAACCCAUACCUUCAGAAACCCACCCCAUCAACCAUGCCAGUUCUGCAAACACUGUGGUGCCCUCUGAGAUGUGCUGCCCAGACCCCCUUCAAAAGAGGACUGGCUGUCCCAGCUGCUGGAACUGCCCAGAAUGGACAGCCUCCCACUGUGGACUCCUUCAGGGUCUGCACCCCCUCCCCAGGCAGCCCACACCCAGUGACUGACAGAAGCAGCUGCGGAAAGGCCAGGCCAUUUCAGCCCAAUGCAGAACAACUGCGGGGGCCAUUUUCAUUCCAGAGUGAUGCUCUGCAGACACUGAGCUCCACAAGGAAGCCCGACCCCACCCCCACCACCUGCCCUGUGCUCCCCUGCCCUCCCUGACUUCCCUGCAGGAGAAACCCCCCGGUCCGGAGGUUCGCCCCGACUCUGCCCGGUGGGGAGCCUCUCCUUGCGUGCCUUUUUACUUUGCACAGAGCAAUCAUUGGCGCAAUGGCCUUUUUCCUGCCCACCUUCUUUCUCAGGAAGCUCCUCGGGGCAGCUCCAGGGCCCCUCACCUUGGGGGAGGUAGCCGGCAGGGCCCUGCGUGUCAGAGGCACAGGGAAGGUGGACUGAGUGAGUGGGGGAGUGAGGGAGCCAGAGGAACAGACGGACUUCCCGGGGCUGCAGGCUCCUGGCCUGGCCCAGCUCUCACUAGUGCUGUGUCCCUGCCCUGGGCCUCUGUUACCUUAGCUGGAAAUGAGAAGACUGGCUUAGGUCAUCUCCAAGGCGCCUUCCAGGGCUAGUACCCUGUGAAGAUCAGAUAAGCAUGCAGACGGGUAACAGGAUCCUUCCACUCCAGGACAGGCAGGAGCCUGUAAUUCCACAGGGGGCCGCGGGGUGGCAGGUGGGAAGGAGGCAGGCCCAUGCAGAGCCGCCUUGGCUUUGCAGAGCGAAGGGAGGGCCUGGAUUCUAUCCUCACUCAGGGUCAGUCUUUUCUCUAAACUGGGCAAUGUUAGAAGACUCAGGUGAAAGAGCAGCUCCCGCUUCCCAGGCUGCCUGCGGCCCCCAGAUGCAAAGCCAGCAGCAGGAGGCUUCAGGAGAGAUCGGCUGCCAGCUGAACCAAGAACUACAGGCUUUAGACGAUGGAUAAGAGAACCGCCCAUGGGGAGGACACCUAUCAGCUUCCUCUCAGACAAAAUAUUUUUGCUGGCUCCAACAGUCCCAGAGCGUUCUUAGCACUGGCACAAAAGAAAAGCCCUGCCCAGGUUCUGACGUCAUCAGGCUCGGGCAUGAAAGGAAAACAAGAUGACCCUGCUGGUGUGCUCCAGAGGAAGACCAGCCUUCAGGUAGGCAGAAGCAGGCUGAGCCGGCACUGUUACCACAGACAGAACCAUCUACCGUGAGAUUUUUCUGUAACUGCUUUUAAAAUGUUCGUUCAGUUUCUUUACCAAUUACACUUCAACACAGCCCCACCCCACCCAGAGGUUAAUCCGCUCAGCCUCUGCUGCGGACCAGCCGUCCCCCUCACUUCACCUCCACCCCGGGCCCAACAGGAGCCCCAGUUCCACCGGUGCACGGAGCAGGCCUCGCCUCUGGCUCUGGACGAACCAUGCUGCUGCUGCUGCUGCUGCUAAGUCGCUUCAUUCAUGUCUGACUCUGUGCAACCCCAUAGACAUAGAUGGAAGCCCACCAGGCUCCCCGUCCCUGGGAUUCUCCAGGCAAGAACACUGGAGUGGGUUGCCAUUUCCUUCUCCAGUGCAUGAAAGAGAAAAGUGAAAGGGAAGUUGCUCAGUCGUGUCCGAGUCUUCGAGACCCCAUGGACUGCAGCCUACCAGGCUCCUCCGUCCAUGGGAUUUUCCAGGCAAGAGUACUGGAGUGGGGUGCCACUGCCUUCUCUGGGACGAGCCAUGAGUGAUGAAUAAAA
ensembl:lncRNA